rnacentral:rRNA from 1 species
AGUGAACGCUGGCGGUAGGCCUAACACAUGCAAGUCGAACGGCAGCACAGUAAGAGCUUGCUCUUACGGGUGGCGAGUGGCGGACGGGUGAGGAAUACAUCGGAAUCUACUUUUUCGUGGGGGAUAACGUAGGGAAACUUACGCUAAUACCGCAUACGACCUACGGGUGAAAGCAGUGGAUCUUCGGACCUUGCGCGAUUGAAUGAGCGGAUGUCGGAUUAGCUAGUUGGCGGGGUAAAGGCCCACCAAGGCGACGAUCCGUAGCUGGUCUGAGAGGAUGAUCGGCCACACUGGAACUGAGACACGGUCCAGACUCCUACGGGAGGCAGCAGUGGGGAAUAUUGGGCAAAGGGCGCAAGCCUGAUCCAGCCAUACCGCGUGGGUGAAGAAGGCCUUCGGGUUGUAAAGCCCUUUUGUUGGGAAAGAAAAGCAGCAGGUUAAUACCCCGCUGUUCUGACGGUACCCAAAGAAUAAGCACCGGCUAACUUCGUG